rnacentral:rRNA from 1 species
UGGGGAAUAUUGGACAAUGGGCGCAAGCCUGAUCCAGCCAUGCCGCGUGAGUGAUGAAGGCCUUAGGGUUGUAAAGCUCUUUUAUCCGGGACGAUAAUGACGGUACCGGAGGAAUAAGCCCCGGCUAACUUCGUGCCAGCAGCCGCGGUAAUACGAAGGGGGCUAGCGUUGCUCGGAAUCACUGGGCGUAAAGGGCGCGUAGGCGGCGUUUUAAGUCGGGGGUGAAAGCCUGUGGCUCAACCACAGAAUGGCCUUCGAUACUGGGACGCUUGAGUAUGGUAGAGGUUGGUGGAACUGCGAGUGUAGAGGUGAAAUUCGUAGAUAUUCGCAAGAACACCGGUGGCGAAGGCGGCCAACUGGACCAUUACUGACGCUGAGGCGCGAAAGCGUGGGGAGCAAACAGGAUUAGAUACC